ensembl:lncRNA
GCUCUCGCGAAAGCUGCCGGGCCGCUCCGUGAUCUCGCGGUUCCCCGGAUGAAGGAACGGGCCGAGGCCCGCCCGUACCUCGCGGUCAGUCGGUGACGUUCUGGCUGGGAACGCUCCGAUGCCGCGAACCUCGGCGAUCAAGCGGAAUAGCAGAUCGUGCUUCUGUAUUUAAGGCUGCUAGGCUGAAAGUGCUGCCGAUGCGAAAUUAAAAUGGAGCUGAAGCUGAAGUUAGAAGAAAAGCACAGUGUAUCCGGCGGCUAUUAUUCAGGGUCUUUCAUGAAACUCGUGUCCAAGGAGGCUUCCAAAACCUUCCGUCUACUGCCCUGUCGGUUUCCUGCUUUGUCAUAGUGGCACAGGGAGGAAUUCUCUGAGCUUCGCCCCUCUGCCUUGACAAGGUGCGAAUCUGAGAAAUCCACCAGGGCGUCCAUCAGGACACGCUGGGAAUCCUAUGGUCGAUGCGGGGGAAAGGCAUUGUGACAUCACAGAGCAGGGCAUGACAUCAGACUUGGUCAAGUCACGCCGGCAGCCUCCCCCAGCUCAGACACUUGGAGCAACAGCUCCGUCCUGGUGGUCACUGCUGGAGCUCUGCUGUGGGUCACAGCCAUUUGUGUGUAGAGAUUGUUCUUUGGGAGAGAUCAGGAUGAAGCUCAGCCUGACUCUCUUCCUGGCCAUGGCUCUGAGCAUGUCUCCAUUUGCGGGACGUGGCCCAGGCUGUCCCAGCUAUCUCAGCUGGGUCUGCAGUUGCGACCAAAAGGUCGUUCCUGAGGAGCAGCAUCGGGUGGCGACCAAGAGCCAGACCUCCACCCGGCGCUGCUGGCUAGGCCUAACCUCCUGUCCCAUCAGGGUUGAGGACAAGAACAACAGUGAGAUCCUUCCUGAAGAGCAACCUGUGGAGGAGACCAAGAGCCAGACCUCCACCUGGCGCUGCUGGUUUGGCUUAACCUCCUGCCCCAUCAGGACCAAGGACACAAACACAAACCUUCCUGAGGAGCAGCAUACGGAGAAAACCAAGAGCCAAACCUCAUACUGGUCCUGCUUGCUUGGCUCUUCCCAGUGUCCCAUAUGGGUCUGGUACAAGGGCAGCAAAGUUGCUGUUCCACAAGGCCCAAAGCAGCAGUCCCCAGGCACCAAGCAGAAGGCCUACAGCUUGCCUGGCAUCCUGGGCCACCUUUGGGACUACCUUAUGCAAAGAGGGAGAACCUGGCUCCUUACAGCUCCCUUGACAAUUUUCUCCAUUCUCUGGCUGCUGACAACUGCCCGUGCCCACUGGAGAAGAUUAAGAAGACCUCGGGGACAGAGAACGGGACAAGCGGACCCAGCUUCCUUAGGAACAGAGGAAACGGACAACCUAAAUGCUCUUGACCUGCUCUGCCAGAUGGACGCCUACAUAACCUUAAUGGAGAGACUUAUGACGAUCCUCAUGCAGCACCAUGUGAAAAAUGUCAGGAGCCAGCAGUGCAGGAAGACAGCGCACAGCACGGGGGACAGGAAGAGCCUCUCCACAGACUCCUGAGGGAGCUGGCAGAGGUGACUGCCAAGCCGCUCUCGGCCAUCUACCAGCCCUCCUGAUUAACUGGAGAGGUCAACAAGGCCAAGUGGCGGGUCCUGCACUUUGGCCACAACAAGCCCAUGCAGCGCUAUAGGCUUGGGGAUGAGUGGCUGGAGGACUGUGAAGAGGAAAGUGUCCUGCGGGUGUUGGCUGAUGAAAGGCUCAACAUGAGCCGGCACCGUGCACUUGCAGCCCCCAAGGCCAAGCGUUUCCUGUGCUGCAUUAAGACAAACGUCACUAGCAGGUCAGGGGAAGUGAUUCUGCCCCUCUACUCUGCUCUCACAAGACUCCACCUGCCGCACUGCAUCCACUUCUGGGGCCCCCAGCACAAGAAAGACAGCGGAGUGGGUCCACUGAUGCUGAGCACCAUGCCUCCAAGUGGCUGUGCUGACCAGGCCUUUCUCAAUGCCCCAUUCGGCUCUGGAACAAG